ACGGAAGGCAGCAGUGGGGAAUAUUGCACAAUGGGGGAAACCCUGAUGCAGCGACGCCGCGUGAGUGAAGAAGUAUCUCGGUAUGUAAAGCUCUAUCAGCAGGGAAGAAAAUGACGGUACCUGACUAAGAAGCCCCGGCUAACUACGUGCCAGCAGCCGCGGUAACACGUAGGGGGCAAGCGUUAUCCGGAUUUACUGGGUGUAAAGGGAGCGUAGACGGUUCUGCAAGUCUGAUGUGAAAGGCAGGGGCUCAACUCCUGGACUGCAUUGGAAACUGUAGAACUAGAGUGCCGGAGAGGUAAGCGGAAUUCCUAGUGUAGCGGUGAAAUGCGUAGAUAUUAGGAGGAACACCAGUGGCGAAGGCGGCUUACUGGACGGUAACUGACGUUGAGGCUCGAAAGCGUGGGGAGCAAACAGGAUUAGAUACCCUGGUA
rnacentral:rRNA from 1 species